ACUACGUGUGGCAGCAGUGGGGAAUAUUGCACAAUGGGGGAAACCCUGAUGCAGCGACGCCGCGUGAGUGAAGAAGUAUUUCGGUAUGUAAAGCUCUAUCAGCAGGGAAGAAGAAAGACGGUACUUGACUAAGAAGCCCCGGCUAACUACGUGCCAGCAGCAGCGGUAAUAAGUAGGGGGCAAGCGUUAUCCGGAUUUACUGGGGGUAAAGGGAGCGUAGACGGCUGUGCAAGUCUGAAGUGAAAGCCCAGGGCUCAACCCUGGUACUGCUUUGGAAAUUGUGGAGCUGGAGUACAGGAGGGGUAAGUUGAAUUCCUAGUGUAGCGGUGAAAUGCGUAGAUAUUAGGAGGAACACCAGUGGCGAAGGCGGCUUACUGGACAGUAACUGACGUUGAGGCUCGAAGGCGUGGGGAGCAAACAGGAUUAGAUACCCUUGUAGUC
rnacentral:rRNA from 1 species